rnacentral:rRNA from 1 species
UAGCGAAAUUCCUUGUCGGGUAAGUUCCGACCUGCACGAAUGGCGUAACGACUUCCCCACUGUCUCGACCAGGAGCUCGGCGAAAUUGCAGUACGAGUAAAGAUGCUCGUUAAGCGCAGAAGGACGAAAAGACCCCGGGACCUUUACUAUACCUUGGUAUUGGCGUUAGGCGCGGAUUGUGUAGCAUAGGCGGGAGGCUUCGAAGCGGGUGCGCCAGCAUUCGUGGAGCCGCAAGGUGAAAUACCGCUCUGUUCUCGUUUGACGUCUAACCUCGACAAGUCAUCCUUGUCAGGGACAGUGCCUGGCGGGUAGUUCAACUGGGGCGGUUGCCUCCCAAAGAGUAACGGAGGCGCUCAAAGGUCCGCUCAGCCCGGUUGGCAAUCGGGUGUCGAGUGUAAUCGCACAAGCGGGCUUGACUGCGAGGACGACGGUCCGAGCAGGGACGAAAGUCGGAGAUAGUGAUCCGGUGCCGGCGCACGGGCGCGGCAUCGCUCAACGGAUAAAAGGUACCCCGGGGAUAACAGGCUGAUCAUUCCCAAGAGUCCAUAUCGACGGGAUGGUUUGGCACCUCGAUGUCGGCUCGUCGCAUCCUGGGGCUGGAGCAGGUCCCAAGGGUUCGGCUGUUCGCCGAUUAAAGCGGCACGCGAGCUGGGUUCAGAACGUCGUGAGACAGUUUGGUCUCUAUCCUCUGCGCUCGUUGGAAUCCUGAGGAGGCCUGCCCAUAGUACGAGAGGACCUGGGUGGACGAACCUCUGGUAUGCCGGUUGUCGCGCCAGCGGCACGGCCGGUUGGCUACGUUCGGGAGGGAUAACCGCUGAAAGCAUCUAAGCGGGAAGCCUGCUCCAAGAUUAGGAUUCCAUGGAUCUUCGAGAUCCUGUAGCCCGCAUGUUGAACACGUGUUUGAUAGGCCGGAGGUGGAAGUCCCGUGAGGGGUGGAGCCGACCGGUACUAACGGGCGACGGCGACACAAC